UACAGAGGUCUCAAGCGUUGUUCGGAUUCAUUGGGCGUAAAGGGUGCGUAGGCGGCGCGGUAAGUCGGGUGUGAAAUCUCGGGGCUUAACUCCGAAACUGCCUUCAAUACUGGCGAGCUCGAGGACUGUAGAGGAGAAUGGAAUUCACGGUGUAAGCAGUGAAAUGCGUAGAUAUCGUGAGGAAGACCAGUGGCGAAGGCGAUUCUCUGGCAGUCUGACACUGAGGCACGAAGCCAGGGAGCAAACGG
rnacentral:rRNA from 1 species